GCUCAUAUAAACUGGCUGCACGCUGGGCCAUCAUAUUCAGGAGACAAGACAUUUUGGUACAUAAGGCCAGGAAAAAAGCCCUGCUGCACAGCUUUGAAUAGCACAGUUGUUCUUGGUUAGGGCUUGUCUAUACUUACAUGUUACAGUGCUCUAACUUGCUGGCCGAGGAGUGUGAAAAAUCACCCCCCUGAGCGCAGCAAGUCUGAGCGCUUUAAAGCACUCGUGUGGACAGGCUCCGAGUGCUGGGAGUAGAGCUAUUCCCCUCGUGGAGGUGGAUUACCAGGAGCGCUGGGAGAGCCCUCUCCCAGCGCUCGCACGUGACCACGCUCACACAUCAAAGCGCUGCCGCAAGAGUGCUCCCACGGCACUGCUUUGAAGUUUCUAGUGUAGACAUACUCUGCAAGGGGGC